rnacentral:rRNA from 1 species
CGGCGAGUGAAGCGGCAACAGCUCACAUUUGAAAUCUGGCGCAAGCCCGAGUUGUAAUUUGUAGAGGAUGUUUCUGGCGACGCGCCUUCCGAGUUCCCUGGAACGGGACGCCAUAGAGGGUGAGAGCCCCGUACGGUUGGAUGCCUAGCCUCUGUGAAACUCCUUCGACGAGUCGAGUAGUUUGGGAAUGCUGCUCUAAAUGGGAGGUAUACGUCUUCUAAAGCUAAAUACCGGCCAGAGACCGAUAGCGCACAAGUAGAGUGAUCGAAAGAUGAAAAGCACUUUGAAAAGAGGGUUAAAAAGUACGUGAAAUUGUUGAAAGGGAAGCGUUCAUGACCAGACUUGGGCAGGUUGAUCAUCCGUGGUUCUCCGCGGUGCACUCUGCCUGCCCAGGCCAGCAUCAGUUCGCUCCGGGGGAUAAAGGCUCUGGGAAUGUGGCUCCUUCGGGAGUGUUAUAGCCCACUGCGUAAUACCCUGGGGUGGACUGAGGUUCGCGCUCUGCAAGGAUGCUGGCGUAAUGGUCAUCAACGACCCGUCUUGAAACACGGACCAAGGAGUCGUCUUCGUAUGCGAGUGUUCGGGUGUCAAACCCCUACGCGUAAUGAAAGUGAACGUAGGAGAGAGCUUCGGCGCAUCUCCGACCGAUCCUGAUGUUCUCGGAUG